rnacentral:rRNA from 1 species
GGGUUGUGAGGUUAAGCGAACAAGCGUACACGGUGGAUGCCCUGGCAGUCAGAGGCGAUGAAGGACGUGCUAAUCUGCGAAAAGCGCCGGUAAGGUGAUAUGAACCGUUAUAACCGGCGAUGUCCGAAUGGGGAAACCCGGUGCACUUCGGUGCAUCAUCGUUAGCUGAAUACAUAGGCUAACGAGGCGAACCGGGGGAACUGAAACAUCUAAGUACCCCGAGGAAAAGAAAUCAACCGAGAUUCCCCCAGUAGCGGCGAGCGAACGGGGAACAGCCCAGAGCCUGAAUCAGCUUGUGUGUCAGUGGAACGGUCUGGAAAGACCGGCGAUACAGGGUGACAGCCCCGUACACGAAGGCACACAGGCUGUGAGCUCGAUGAGUAGGGCGGGACACGUGAUAUCCUGUCUGAAGAUGGGGGGACCAUCCUCCAAGGCUAAAUACUCCUGACUGACCGAUAGUGAACCAGUACCGUGAGGGAAAGGCGAAAAGAACCCCGGCGAGGGGAGUGAAACAGAACCUGAAACCGUGUACGUACAAGCAGUGGGAGCCUUCGUAAGAGGGUGACUGCGUACCUUUUGUAUAAUGGGUCAGCGACUUAUAUUCUGUAGCAAGGUUAACCGUAUAGGGGAGCCGAAGGGAAACCGAGUCUUAAUUGGGCGUUAAGUUGCAGGGUAUAGACCCGAAACCCGGUGAUCUAGCCAUGGGCAGGUUGAAGGUUGGGUAACACUAACUGGAGGACCGAACCGACUAAUGUUGAAAAAUUAGCGGAUGACCUGUGGCUGGGGGUGAAAGGCCAAUCAAACCGGGAGAUAGCUGGUUCUCCCCGAAAGCUAUUUAGGUAGCGCCUCGUGAACUCAUCUCCGGGGGUAGAGCACUGUUUCGGCUAGGGGGCCAUCCCGGCUUACCAACCCGAUGCAAACUGCGAAUACCGGAGAAUGUUAUCACGGGAGACACACGGCGGGUGCUAACGUCCGUCGUGAAGAGGGAAACAACCCAGACCGCCAGCUAAGGUCCCAAAGUCAUGGUUAAGUGGGAAACGAUGUGGGAAGGCCCAGACAGCCAGGAUGUUGGCUUAGAAGCAGCCAUCAUUUAAAGAAAGCGUAAUAGCUCACUGGUCGAGUCGGCCUGCGCGGAAGAUGUAACGGGGCUAAACCAUGCACCGAAGCUGCGGCAGCGACGCUUAUGCGUUGUUGGGUAGGGGAGCGUUCUGUAAGCCUGCGAAGGUGUGCUGUGAGGCAUGCUGGAGGUAUCAGAAGUGCGAAUGCUGACAUAAGUAACGAUAAAGCGGGUGAAAAGCCCGCUCGCCGGAAGACCAAGGGUUCCUGUCCAACGUUAAUCGGGGCAGGGUGAGUCGACCCCUAAGGCGAGGCCGAAAGGCGUAGUCGAUGGGAAACAGGUUAAUAUUCCUGUACUUGGUGUUACUGCGAAGGGGGGACGGAGAAGGCUAUGUCGGCCGGGCGACGGUUGUCCCGGUUUAAGCGUGUAGGCUGACUUUCCAGGCAAAUCCGGAGAGUUAAGGCUGAGGCGUGAUGACGAGGCACCACGGUGCUGAAGUGACAAAUGCCCUGCUUCCAGGAAAAGCCUCUAAGCAUCAGGUAACAUCAAAUCGUACCCCAAACCGACACAGGUGGUCAGGUAGAGAAUACCAAGGCGCUUGAGAGAACUCGGGUGAAGGAACUAGGCAAAAUGGUGCCGUAACUUCGGGAGAAGGCACGCUGACAUGUAGGUGAAGCCCCUGCGGGUGGAGCUGAAGUCAGUCGAAGAUACCAGCUGGCUGCAACUGUUUAUUAAAAACACAGCACUGUGCAAACACGAAAGUGGACGUAUACGGUGUGACGCCUGCCCGGUGCCGGAAGGUUAAUUGAUGGGGUUAUCGCAAGAGAAGCUCCUGAUCGAAGCCCCGGUAAACGGCGGCCGUAACUAUAACGGUCCUAAGGUAGCGAAAUUCCUUGUCGGGUAAGUUCCGACCUGCACGAAUGGCGUAAUGAUGGCCAGGCUGUCUCCACCCGAGACUCAGUGAAAUUGAACUCGCUGUGAAGAUGCAGUGUACCCGCGGCAAGACGGAAAGACCCCGUGAACCUUUACUACAGCUUGACACUGAACAUUGAGCCUUGAUGUGUAGGAUAGGUGGGAGGCUUUGAAGCGUGGACGCCAGUCUGCGUGGAGCCAACCUUGAAAUACCACCCUUUAAUGUUUGAUGUUCUAACCUGGCGCCAUAAUCUGGCGUGGGGACAGUGUCUGGUGGGUAGUUUGACUGGGGCGGUCUCCUCCCAAAGUGUAACGGAGGAGCACGAAGGUCAGCUAAUCCUGGUCGGACAUCAGGAGGUUAGUGCAAUGGCAUAAGCUGGCUUGACUGCGAGAGUGACGGCUCGAGCAGGUGCGAAAGCAGGUCAUAGUGAUCCGGUGGUUCUGUAUGGAAGGGCCAUCGCUCAACGGAUAAAAGGUACUCCGGGGAUAACAGGCUGAUACCGCCCAAGAGUUCAUAUCGACGGCGGUGUUUGGCACCUCGAUGUCGGCUCAUCACAUCCUGGGGCUGAAGUAGGUCCCAAGGGUAUGGCUGUUCGCCAUUUAAAGUGGUACGCGAGCUGGGUUUAGAACGUCGUGAGACAGUUCGGUCCCUAUCUGCCGUGGGCGCUGGAGAAUUGAGGGGGGCUGCUCCCAGUACGAGAGGACCGGAGUGGACGCAUCACUGGUGUUCGGGUUGUCAUGCCAAUGGCACUGCCCGGUAGCUAAAUGCGGAAGAGAUAAGUGCUGAAAGCAUCUAAGCACGAAACUUGCCCCGAGAUGAGUUCUCCCUGAGACUGUAAGUCUCCUGAAGGAACGUUGAAGACGACGACGUUGAUAGGCCGGGUGUGUAAGCGCAGCGAUGCGUUGAGCUAACCGGUACUAAUGAACCGUGAGGCUUAACCUUACAACGCCAAAGAAGU